rnacentral:rRNA from 1 species
ACGGAAGGCAGCAGUGGGGAAUAUUGCACAAUGGGGGAAACCCUGAUGUAGCGACGCCGCGUGAAGGAAGAAGUAUCUCGGUAUGUAAACUUCUAUCAGCAGGGAAGAUAAUGACGGUACCUGACUAAGAAGCCCCGGCAAACUUCGUGCCAGCAGCCGCGGUAAUACGAGGGGUGCAAGCGUUGUUCGGAAUCACUGGGCGUAAAGGGAGCGCAGGCGGAGAUGCAAGCGGACUGUACAAUACCGGGGCCCAACCCCGGACCUGCAGUCCGGACUGCACCUCUUGGAUAGUUCAGGGGCAAGCGGAAUUCCUGGUGUAGCGGUGGAAUGCGUAGAGAUCAGGAAGAACACCGAUGGCGAAGGCAGCUUGCUGGGGACUAAUCGACGCUCAUGCUCGAAAGUGCGGGUAGCAAACAGGAUUAGAUACCCUGGUA